CGCCGCUGGAGUUCAUCGCCACUAUAAUUGAAAUACGCUCAAUUUAGCGAACACGAUUUAUCCCACGUACACAGAGUCGUGGAAUGCAUAUAUAUAUGAAAGCUUGUGUGAGUCGAAUGCACUUGCAAGUGGAACGUAUGUAUGUAUGUAUGUAUGUCUGUUGGCGGACCGGAUAACAAUUUUUCAGGCGUAGCAAUAAUGUUCAUAGGCAAAUACCCACAGACGCUCUGCGAUCUUAUGAGCGCAAAAUGUGCAAACCCCUCUUCACCUGCAAAAUAGCCCUAAGAAUCGAAUGGGGCAUAUCCCCCUAUAUUGUAUGGUGGCCAGACCUCGAAAAGAAGAACUUCCUUAAGAAGGUGGAAAAAAUCCUGCGAGCAGCAGCAAUAUGUAUAUGCGCUGUACUACGAUCUACCCCAAACGAAGCCCUAAAUGCCAUACUCAGCAUACCAAAUCCAGGACUAGCUGGAAUAGAACUAGCGAAAGAAGCGGCAAUCAGGCUAAGGAAAACGCAGCAAUGGAGCACCCUUAAUAAGGGCCAAUCUACCAUUCUACUAAAUGACCCACUCCUUUAUGGUAAUACAGACUAAUGCACUCUCAGGGAGUAUCCACAAACUCCUUUAUAUAGGUAAGGGAUAUCCAUAACCUUUAUGCUCCCCUGAACCAAAGUCCAGAACAAACAUUGAAACCUAUAUAGAACUGUUUCUAUGUUUAAAAAAAUUUCUUGCAGUUUUAAAAGGUUCAGUAAAGCAUAACAGAUUUUGUAAAUAGCCAUGACUUUUUGAAAAUAUGAGAUUAAAAACUCCUUUUUAAUUG